UACGUAGGGUGCGAGCGUUAAUCGGAAUUACUGGGCGUAAAGCGUGCGCAGGCGGUUAUUUAAGUUCAGGUGUGAAAGCCCUGGGCUUAACCCUAGGGAAUUGCGCUUGAGACUGGAUAGCUUGGAGUGCGGCAGAGGGAGGUGGAAUUCCACGUGUAGCAGUGAAAUGCGUAGAGAUGUGGAGGAACACCGAUGGCGAAGGCAGCCUCCUGGGCCAGCACUGACGCUCAUGCACGAAAGCGUGGGGAGCAAACAGG
rnacentral:rRNA from 1 species